CGUGUAGGCGGUCAGGUAAGUGGAAUGUGAAAUGCCCCGGCCUCACCCGGGGACCCGGCAUCCCAAACUGCCUGGCUUGAGUAUGGGAGAGGAUGGAGGAAUUCCUGGUGUAGCGGUGAAAUGCGUAGAUAUCAGGAGGAACACCGGUGGCGAAGGCGUCCAUCUGGCCCAAUACUGACGCUGAGGCGCGAAAGCUAGGGGAGCAAACG
rnacentral:rRNA from 1 species